rnacentral:rRNA from 1 species
UACGAAGGGGGCUAGCGUUGCUCGGAAUCACUGGGCGUAAAGCGCACGUAGGCGGCUUCUUAAGUCGAGGGUGAAAUCCUGGAGCUCAACUCCAGAACUGCCUUCGAUACUGAGGAGCUUGAGUCCGGGAGAGGUGAGUGGAACUGCGAGUGUAGAGGUGAAAUUCGUAGAUAUUCGCAAGAACACCAGCGGCGAAGGCGGCUCACUGGCCCGAUACUGACGCUGAGGCACGAAAGCGUGGGGAGCAAAGCAGG